rnacentral:lncRNA from 1 species
GCGACAUUUCCGGGCUGGGAGAAGCCGAAGCCCGUAACCUCCAGUUCCCCGCAGCUUGAGGCCACCAGCGCCUGGAGAUUUUCAAACACACUCAAAGAGCUGGGAGGAGCCUGGCGGGGCCACGAAGGAGGGCAGUACUGACUCAUCACGAACCUCCAGGGCCCGGAGCCAGGGCGGCCUGGGCCCAGAGCCUCAGUCCCCUGCAGCCAGCCAAAAGAAGGAAGCAACCCAGGAACCCAUCAGCACACGGCGGAUAAAGGAAAUGUAAUAUACAUAUCAUGGAGUAUCGGCCUUCAAAAGGACUGAGAUUUUGACAUGGAGAGUUCUUAAAGACAUUAUGCUAAGUGAAAUAUGCUAAUGUGAAGGGUUACAGGAACUACUCCAAGGAGAUGCUGGGAAGUAGCCUGGGAAUGGCCAUCCCUCUCCCAUCAUUUCUCUUCCCUCAAUCCUGCUUCAGCUUCUGUCAGCCUGUGAAGGUCCUGCAGAGUGAGGUUAAGAUCGCACCUGACUGACCAUCUCAAAAAAGAACCAGAACAAUCUCCUUGUGCUUUCCCUGAGCUGGUGAAGCUGGUAAAAAUCACUGAAAAUGAGGAAAGUAAAUUAACACAAGGAAGAAGCAGGACAAGGGGGAUUCUGUCCUCCUGACUACUGAGUUAACUGCAAUGAAAACAAAGUACAAAGGACUGCUAGUUCUGUGCAUAUAUUUACAUAGAAAUGUGCAAUUUUUUUUAAAAGGGGCCUUCCUGGUGUUUCUUUACUUAUGGGUUUAAUUUUUUAUCUCCUCAAUGUCCACCAGGAGGGCUCUGUUAAUAUUUACGUCGUGGGCCUUCCUGAGGAUGAGUUCAUUUCAGUCAUUGCUAAUCAACAGCCUUACUAUGAUGUCUUCUUUAUCCUGUAACAUUCCUAUUAUCCCUAACUCUUCAAAAAUACUCUUAGGAUAUUUUAGCAAGUGCCCUCUUCACCUUUUAAAGAGUUGUCU